AGAACGAACGCUGGCGGCAUGCCUAAUACAUGCAAGUCGAACGAACACUUCGGUGUUAGUGGCGCACGGGUGCGUAACGCGUGGGAAUCUGCCCUUGGGUUCGGAAUAACAGUUGGAAACGACUGCUAAUACCGGAUGAUGACGAAAGUCCAAAGAUUUAUCGCCCAGGGAUGAGCCCGCGUAGGAUUAGCUAGUUGGUGAGGUAAAGGCUCACCAAGGCGACGAUCCUUAGCUGGUCUGAGAGGACGACCGAGCCACACU
rnacentral:rRNA from 1 species